AAUCGGCGUAAUAUUAAUCAAUAAAAAUAAACGAUUUUUAAUUUUAGAUGUAUUCAUAUGAUAGAGAAUUCCUUUGGCGCCAACUUUAUUGUAAUGAUACCUUUCAUUUCUAUUGCUACUUCUAUACUUAUGUUUGAUGUAAGAAUGAAAAAAUAGUACAUAUAAGUAACGAUACGAUAGAAUGCACAAAAUAGAUGAUUCCCAAUGAACGCAGAACGUUCGGAAAGCACCUGUUUUACGCGAUAAAAUUACGCAAUCUACGAUUGUGUUUUUUUAUAUAAGAAAAAUAGAGUUUUGAAAAGUACAACUUUUCUUUAGUUGUUUUUUUACCACGAUCAUCCAUUUGAAAAGAUUGUUCUGAUUGGACUUAUUAUGGGCAUAUUGCUGUUUUUUUUCGUAUUGAUUUGGAUUAUACAACAAUUAAUUGAUAGUAGUGAAGAGGUCUUUAGACAAGUGUAAGUAAUUUGUAACAAUAAUAAUAACAACUACCUAUUAGUGGCAAUUUGAAUUGCACUCGUUGCUUAUCGAUUGUUUAAACUUUUGUAUAUUUCUUUACUUUGAAUACUUAUUUCUAUUUCUUUUUUCACAAAAUCAAUUUUAACUUUGCUAAAGUUACGUUUUUUCGUGAUCAUUUCGUCCAAAAUCGUAUGAUGCAGUAAGGGAGAGGAAAACUUGGGCAUAAUAUCUUGUCUAAACUGCCACCUGAGCCGAAGCGAAGAGUGACAAACAUGAGACAUAAUAGGCUGUCCAAUUUUCCUUUCGAGGUAGUGCGUGUUAUUUUUCUCACACCGGCAGUAACAAUAGGCAUUUCUCUCCAGGUGUCUGCAAAAAGAAAUGUUUUACUUUUAGUUCGUAAGACAUGCGCAAAAAGCAUACACAUAUAGUUUUAAAAAUAGUUACAUUCGCACAUUUCUUGUACUUUUAUCGUUAUACAUUCGUAUAUUAAUAAUAAAAUAUAACAUAUUACAUAUUUUAAAUCCUUAUCCAAUAAUAGAUAUUCUUGCAAUUGGUAUAAUUUAUCAGUUAAAGGACAAAAAUUAGUAUAUCUAUUAAUGCUCAGAACAUUCAAUCCUUCGAAAAUAACUGCUAAGGGACUUGUAGACAUAAAUAUAUAUCUAUUCGGAGUUAUCUUGAAGACAUCACUAUCUUACGCCAUGGUUAUGCAGAGACUAAACAUUUCUUAAUUUUGGCUAAUCAGCAAUAUAUAUUUUGGUAGUAUUACGAAUUUGUAAACAACACAAAUAUUCACUGUAAAUGAGUUUAAUAAACGGCAUGCCAAUUUGUCAAUA